rnacentral:rRNA from 1 species
GAUGAACGCUAGCUACAGGCUUAACACAUGCAAGUCGAGGGGCAGCAUGGUCUUAGCUUGCUAAGGCCGAUGGCGACCGGCGCACGGGUGAGUAACACGUAUCCAACCUGCCGUCUACUCUUGGACAGCCUUCUGAAAGGAAGAUUAAUACAAGAUGGCAUCAUGAGUCCACAUGUUCACAUGAUUAAAGGUAUUCCGGUAGACGAUGGGGAUGCGUUCCAUUAGAUAGUAGGCGGGGUAACGGCCCACCUAGUCUUCGAUGGAUAGGGGUUCUGAGAGGAAGGUCCCCCACAUUGGAACUGAGACACGGUCCAAACUCCUACGGGAGGCAGCAGUGAGGAAUAUUGGUCAAUGGGCGAGAGCCUGAACCAGCCAAGUAGCGUGAAGGAUGACUGCCCUAUGGGUUGUAAACUUCUUUUAUAAAGGAAUAAAGUCGGGUAUGGAUACCCGUUUGCAUGUACUUUAUGAAUAAGGAUCGGCUAACUCCGUGCCAGCAGCCGCGGUAAUACGGAGGAUCCGAGCGUUAUCCGGAUUUAUUGGGUUUAAAGGGAGCGUAGAUGGAUGUUUAAGUCAGUUGUGAAAGUUUGCGGCUCAACCGUAAAAUUGCAGUUGAUACUGGAUAUCUUGAGUGCAGUUGAGGCAGGCGGAAUUCGUGGUGUAGCGGUGAAAUGCUUAGAUAUCACGAAGAACUCCGAUUGCGAAGGCAGCCUGCUAAGCUGCAACUGACAUUGAGGCUCGAAAGUGUGGGUAUCAAACAGG